rnacentral:rRNA from 1 species
GGUUGAUCCUGCCAGUAGUCAUAUGCUUGUCUCAAAGAUUAAGCCAUGCAUGUCAACUCUUCUCGUCUUCAUCCCGCACACCCUUCGGAAGGGGCGUAUUUAUUAGAUAAAAAACCGACACAGGGCACUUGUGCCCUGGACCUCGGCGAGUCACGGUAACUCGAUCGGAUCGCAUCCAACGGCUCUUCUCUUCGGGGGGGAGCCGGCGACGAUUCAUUCAAAUUCCUGCCCUAUCAACUCUCGAUGGUAGGAUAGAGGCCUACCAUGGUCGCAACGGGUAACGGGGAAUUAGG